rnacentral:rRNA from 1 species
UAGGGAAUCUUCGGCAAUGGACGAAAGUCUGACCGAGCAACGCCGCGUGAGUGAAGAAGGUUUUCGGAUCGUAAAACUCUGUUGUUAGAGAAGAACAAGGAAGUUAGUAACUGAACGUCCCCUGACGGUAUCUAACCAGAAAGCCACGGCUAACUACGUGCCAGCAGCCGCGGAAUACGUAGGUGGCAAGCGUUGUCCGGAUUUAUUGGGCGUAAAGCGAGCGCAGGCGGUUUCUUAAGUCUGAUGUGAAAGCCCCCGGCUCAACCGGUGAGGGUCAUUGGAAACUGGGAGACUUGAGUGCAGAAGAGGAGAGUGUAAUUCCAUGUGUAGCGGUGAAACGCGUAGAUAUAUGGAGGAACACCAGUGGCGAAGUCGGCUCUCUGGUCUGUAACUGACGCUGAGGCUCGAAAGCGUGGGGAGCAAACAGG